AACUUUUUAUCAUUAUUAUUACGAACAACCCCAAAAUAAACCUAUUAAAGGACUCAAUUUUAACUUUGAUCCAAAGUUACAGUUAGACUGGUCUCUCCCUGAGCUUCUCUUCAUCACCGAGUCUUCAUCUAUCAUUCUCAGGUUCUUCUAUGCUCUCUACAAUAACAAGCUUAUAAUAUUGAAAGUCAUAGGUUUACUCAUAACAAUAUUUUAAUCUCGAACUACAAUUAGGAAUUUGAUUAUUCUUUUAAUUUUUUUUGAUAUUUUUAGUUUCAGGGUCAUUUGCCAUCCGACAAUUUUUUUUCGACUUUGUGGUGAGUCUUGGAUUUGACUUUCUGAAUUUCUCCAUAUACGACGGAGUUGUUGGCUCGCUGAAGUAUGUACUCUUCAUCUUUGUUUUUCGUUUACAUUAGUAUUAAAGAUACCCCAGAUGCAAAUUUUCUAAAAAGAUUU
rnacentral:lncRNA from 1 species